UGGGGGAAAAUGGAAAUAAAAACAAAAAUAAACAAAUGGGACCUAGUGAAACUUAAAAGCUUUUGCACAGCAAAGGAAACCGUAAACAAGACCAAAAGACAACCCUCAGAAUGGGAGAAAAUAUUUGCAAACGAAUCAAUGGGCAAAGGAUUAAUCCCCAAAAUAUAACAGCUCAUGCAGCUCAGUAUUAAAAAACAAAUAACCCAAUCCAAAAAUGGGCAGAAGACCUAAAUAGACAUCUCUCCAAAGAAGACAUACAGAUGGCCAAGAAGCACAUGAAAAGCUGCUCAGCAUCACUAAUUAUUAGAGAAAUGCAAAUCAAAACUACAAUGAGUUGUCAUCUCACACCGGUCAGAAUGGCCAUCAUCAAAAAAUCUAGAAACAAUAAAUGCUGGAGAGGGUGUGGAGAAAAGGGAACCCUCUCACACUGUUGGUGGGAAUGUAAAUUGAUACAGCCACUAUGGAGAACAGUAUGGAGGUUCCUUAAAAAGCUAAAAAUAGAACUACCAUAUGACUCAAUAAUCCCACUCCUGGGCAUAUACCCAGAGAAAGCCAUAAUUCAAAAAUAUACGUCACCCCAGUGUUCAUUGCUGCACUAUUUACAAUAGCCAGGACAUGGAAGCAACCUAAACGUCCAUUGACAGAGGAAUGGAUAAAGAAGAUUGGUGCAUAUAUACAAUGGAAUAUUAGCCAUAAAAUAGAACUAAAUUGUGCCGUUUACAGAGACGUGAAUGGACCUAGAGACUGUCAUACAGAGUGAAGUAAGUCAGAAAGAGAAAAACAAAUAUCAUAUAUUAACACAUACAUAUGGAAUAGGUGAACUUAUUUGCAAAGCAGAAAUAGAGACACAGAUGUAGAGAACAAAUGUAUGGAUACCAAGGGGAGAAGCGGGGGCGAGAUGGAUUGGGAGAUUGGGAUUGACAUAUACACACUACUAUGUAUAAAAUAGAUAACUACUGAGAACAGAUUGUACAGCACAGGGAACUCUACUCAAUGCUCUGUGGUGACCUAAAUGGGAAGGAAAUCCAAGGAAUAGGGGAUAUAUGUAUACGUGUGGCUGAUUCACUUUGCCGUACAGCAGAAACUAACACAACAUUGUAAAGCAACUAUACUCCAAUAAGAAGAAUAAAAAUUUUUUAAAUAAAUAAAUAAAUAAUAAAUAGAAAAAAAAUAAAAUGGAAACCUUUUACUUAGGAAAAAAAUAAAAUAGAUUGCUUAUCAAUAUUUGAUAUAUCAUUGUGCCUACAAUUUCUGCAUGCUUAUUUAAAUACAUAUUUCAUAGUCACUGUAAUAUAACUACAUGCUUCACUGACAUCAGUUCUUCCUGGAUCCCACAAGGAGGAAAUUUACCUGCUAAUGCAAUGCAUUUGGAGAGAGAGCAGAGAGCCGCAGCCCAGCUUAACAUGUGCAGUGCAUUCUUACUGCGUCUUCCUUCGGUAUCACAGAGCUUAUGGAUGUGGAAUCCUUCAAACUCAGCUCCUGGAGCUGUAGAAAUAGCACAUGGAUUGAGACCAGAUGCCGUGCUCUCCAGAAAGCUGGUUUGGUAACAGGUUUCAGCUGUGUGAACAUUCAAUUCCCUGAUCCAGGAGCAUGGACCUCAGAGUGAACAGGCUAAAAAGGGAUGCUGUGGACACUUUCUCCAUCAUUCACCUCUCCUUCUAAAGCUCUGGCACUGAGCGAUCGCAGUUCUAAAGAGCAGUCCUGUGUACCCCCAUUUAUGGUUUUUUAAUGUUCAAUUAAUAUUACGGAAACAAAUCCUUUCAGCAACUUCUAAAUCAAUUUUCUAAAAUCUGCUUGUCUCAGAAUUUACCAACAAAACAUACAGCUUUUUGAAGACGCUAAUGUUCACAGCCCUUUAUGCCACUUUAUCACACCUCAUGUUCUCAAAGCCCUGGAGCAAAAGGAAUUUUUUUUGUUUAUUUACAUUUCUGGGAAAGAAUUCCCACUUGCUUCUGUACCUUAUCAUUUUUUUUGCCAAAAUCAAACCUAAAAUUUAUAGAUAAUACCUUUUUCUUCAUUAAAAUCAUGAAAUAUGUUAAAAUCCUACCUGCUAAAAAAAAGGUGGGGGAAUUUCAUGUGGCUCAAGACAAAAGACAUUUUUCAUAAAAUUAAUUAAAUUAAAACGUGAAAUCAAAAUAAGAAUGAAGUUGAAUUCCAGCUGCCAGCCAGGGGCCUCCUCUUCCAAUAAGUCACCAGACAGACAAUAAUGUGAACGCUGAUGUCCACUGCAAUCACCAGUGCCAAGUGUGGUAGUAGGUACACAUACCUACCAUAAGAAGAAGGUGAUAUUUAGAACUCUUAAAAUUUUUCUUUCUUUUUUUUUUUUUUUACUUACAGAAUUUUCCUCUCCAGCAAGCUGCCUGCCUUAACGGCUUGCUUGUUGGGGAUAUUUAUGGUACUGGAGUGAGUCUUAUUUAUUUAUUUUUUUCUCUUAAUUUUGCCUCUAAGACCAGAUUCCUAUCUCUUUGAAUCCCAAUAAUGUAAAUUGUGGAUCUGAGUAGAUCUAGAGGAAUGACAGGAAUGAGAAACACUUCUGGGAUAUUCAGAAGUUGAAGCAGAUUUGGUUGAUGGAAUAUUGCCUCCAGUCUUAGCAAGUAUGGAGGCUAAAACCUGGAAAAAUGGCUAAUGAAGGCAAGCUUUGCACCUUGUUUUCAGGAAACGAAAAAGCACCCGCUGUUUAUUUCUGCUUCCCCAAAUGCAGGUGUUUCGAAUCUAAAUACGAGGGGGCUGGCAUUUCUUCCAAACAAGCUGUGCACUGCAGCUCUUAGAGUCCUAAAUCCUCAACACAUUUACAGGUAAGGGUCUAGCCUGGACCACACAUCAAACACAGCCACUGCUGUCUUUGCUCCAGAGCCAUGAGCUUGCGGGAUUGUGGUUUCGCUUCUCAUGAGGCUCUGGCUGACAAAUGGCAACUAUUUAAUGGUGUGUUGAAGAGGUGGAAGCCAAUGGAAGAGGAGGUUAAAAACUAGAACUCAGCCCUCUCCUGGUAACCCAAAGAAUUUCCCCAGUUGCCAUUGAUGCUGGUUUUUCUUGUGUGUGUGUGUUCAUAUGAAUACAUAUACGUCUCGGCAGAUUCCGUAUAUGUUCUUAUGCAUGUUAAUAACAGUGUUUUACUAUAGACGGAGUGAGAGAGGGGGCACCGAAUUUGAAGUGAUGUGCUUAUAAAGGAUGUCUGUGAUUUCCAAUCCAGCGAACCACUGGGGAGUGAAGGAACUAUGUGGAAUUGACAUUUCUCAAAAAUGAAGCCUGAGAAACUACAAAGGCACACAGUUUCAGCUCUCAGAGUUCCCCGUGGGAAAGAAGGUGGUUAAGAAGGUGGCAUCUGGAGUCAGAUGGCUUAGGUUCAAAUCCCAGCUCCAUUGUGUAAGUUCUCUGUGCCUCAGUGUCCCCAUCUGCAAAAUGGGAUUGUUUGGGUAGUCAGUGAGCUAAUACGGGUAGAGUGCUGAGAACACUGCCUGGCCUCAAGCUAGAAAACAAGAUAUGGCAACACUGAAGGACUGGCCAGGCUACACUAGUUUUCCUUCUACAUUGCUGUUCCAAGGAGGCUGUUUCUUCCAUUUUUAUAACAGAACUUUUAGAUUUGUUUUCUGAAAUGCAGCUAAGCUUUGUCCCCUUUAUUCUCUUCUCACGGCCAUUACCCGAGGAGCGAGGGUUUUCCUCAGGCGAAGCUGGUGCAGUAACUUCCCAGGUGGUCUCUGUCUCUGCACACCUGCCGUCCCAGAGCUUCCAGGCUGUCCCAGGUGCUGUUUGCUCAGUGCUGCUUUCACCUCACCACGCUCGGUACCCCUGCCCCGCUGCACGCAGCCUAAGGCCUCUGCCUGGUUUCCACACCUUCCAAUCCAAACUCCUCAUGCCACCCCCAGCCCCAAAGCAUCCCCACGUGCAGGGCAGGCCCAGGAAUACCUCCUCUUUUGCUAUGUCAGUGGCCUCACCGAGGAUGGGGUCCUGUAGGACCUGCAUUUUCUGAAAGGAGAAAGGAAGUGUUUUCCAAACAGAGGGUGGUAGCUGUGAGAAAAGAAAUAAAGGAAACCAUGAAUCAGAUGGACUUUCUGAAGUCAAGAAAUGGCGCCAUUCCAAGACUCAAGGAAGAAUGGAAAGCAGCUCGAUACUAUUAAUUCCCUUUUGUCUUCACAUCAGUGAGCUCUCCUCCCUCACCCAGCACCUGGGACAUAAGAAACCAGUGCACAUCCAUGUAUUGAUGAUGCCACAGGAAGAAUCAAUGUGUUGCAACCCUAUGUUCUUUGAAAAAACUAUAAUGGUUAUGAGAGGAAAUAAUUUUGAGCAUAACUCUUAGUUUACAUGUCUUCUACUCUUUGUUCCCGUCGCGUUUUUGGUUUUUUUUUUAAUCUCUGCAAUGGCUGAGUGUACAUCCUCUGUUCACACCCGCGUCUUCCUCUGGGGGGCUACGUCUCCUGACCCAGUCUGGGGUUUCAAGGAGGAGCUGCUGGUCAUAGAAUCCUGUCGCUCUGACUGUAGCUGAGCCAAUCGGAGUCCUUCCCUGGGGUUUUUCAAAAUCUCCCCCCAAAGCCUAGUCACGUCGCCUCUCACGGGCCACUGUGACACCACUGUGUAGUGUCCAGCUGGUCCCUGCAGCCCUCCGUCUGCUCCUGUCUCCACAAGCUGUUCUGCUCUCAAGAGCCAGACGAAUCUUUCCUCCAAAAGUUUACUCAAAUGUCAAUUGUCUUCUCAGUUCUCUUUUUUUUUUUUUUGCGGUAUGCGGGCCUCUCACUGUUGUGGCCUCUCCCUUUGCGGAGCACAGGCUCCGGACGCGCAGGCUCAGCGGCCAUGGCUCACAGGCCCAGCCGCACCGCGGCAUACGGGAUCCUCCCGGACCGGGGCACGAACCCGCGUCCCCUGCAUUGGCAGGCGGACUCUCAACCACUGCGCCACAAGGGAAGCCCCUCAGUUCUCUUUUGACUUAGCAUCCCAUUCUGAUGAAGUUCAGAAUUUUCACCGCUUCCCACCGGCUCUCCCAUUUCACUUCCAGCCACUCUGAUCCCACCGCCACACCAUUCCUUGUACACACCAGAUGCACUUCCACCCCAGGGCCUUUGCAGGAAUCAUCUGCUCUACCUGGAACACUCUUCCCACCAAGAGUGGCUCACCCUUCCCCUCAUUUAAGUUUCUACCCAAAUGGCACCUUCAUAGAGAGGUAUUCCCCGAAGUUCCUGUACAAAAUAACCCCUGCUGCCCCCCUGUCCACACUCCCUGUUUUCUGACUCUUCCUAGCCCUUAGCACUACCUGAUAUAGGUACUUUUGGGGUUUUGUCUAUCUCCUCCUACUAAAAUUUUUUAAAAAGUAAGUUUAUUUAUGUUUUAUUUAUUUAUUUUUGGCUGUGUUGGGUCUUCGUUGCUGCGUGCGGGCUUUCUCUAGUUGCGGCAAGUGGGGGGCUACUCUCCGUUGCGGUGCGCAGGCUUCUCAUUGCGGUGGCUUCUCUUUGUUGGGGAGCACGGGCUCUAGGCGCGUGGGCUCCAGUAGUUGUGGCUCGUGGGCUCAGUAGUUGUGGUACACAGGAUUAGUUGCUGCGCGGCACAUGGGAUCUUCCCAAAGGAUCGAACUCAUGUCCCCUGCAUUGGCAGGCGGAUUCUUAACCACUGUGCCACCAGCGAAGUCCUUACUCCUACUAAAAUUUAACCUUUACAAGUGAAGGGACUUUGUCUACUUUUGUUCCCUGCUGUCUCCCCAGCAUUGAAAACAGUGUUCCACAUACUAGGUCCUCAAUAAUUAUUAUGCUGAUGAAUGUCUUACUGAACUAUUGUUGAAAACUCCUACCCCAAUGUCUUCAACCAAGUCCUAAGAGCUUUUGAAAGGCCACGUUAAUAAAUGUCUUAUGCAAUGAACGAACAAGAAAAAGAUUCAGAAAUAAUCUUAUCCAACCUCCUCUUUUAAAGAUGAGGACAAGGAACCCAAGAUCGCACACCUGCUCGCUGCACAGUUGCUUUUGGCAGAAAAUAAAAACCCAGGCUGAAGCCGUUUACCAGCCUCACGUAGGAAGGCACCCAUGCCGCGUGUGAGCCCCUCCUGACUUCAGUACAUCUGGGAAGCUUGGGGCAGGAAGCAGGUGCAGCCAGCUGGCUUUGUUUUCUCACAGGCCAAAGCGAUAUAUGGCCUCCCCGGAGCGCGCUUCCAGAGAAGGGACUUGGGAAGCAUAGAAACGAAGGUCUCCCUGCCCCUUCUCCUGUCUCUCAUUACCUUUGGCUGCACAAAAGGAUUGAAUAAGUGCCUGUCACAUAAAAGACUCCCACACCCCCGGAGCCAGAAGUGGGACAGCACAAGGGAACGCGCCCGAGGUGCUUCAGUCCCCACCCCCGGCUCCUCUCUCCCACCAGGAAGUGUCCCUGUUCCCUCCCCACCUCCGCACUGCACAUCCACACUCCCAGAAGAAUGGAGCACCACAGUGAUAAAUGAUUUCCAACUUGUUUGGUAACAGAGCUCACAGAAGGCAGUGCCGUUCUUUUAUAGAAUUCCUUCCAUUUCCAGGUGAGGGAACUGAAGUCUGGGAGGUUUAAUGACAGGCCUCAGGAUCACCCAUCUAGUUACUGCACAGUGCACCCCAGGCCUCGAACUUUUCCUCUAAACUUUCCUAUCAAAUUAUAUCAAUUUUGGUUUCUGGGGAAGAAGCAAAUUCAACUGCAUUGUUCUCAUACAAUACAAUUCUUAAGGUGCUCAUGGUAGAUAAUUAAACACUGCAAAGAGUUUUGAGCUAAUUUACUUAAUGAAAUGCAACAUAUAUAUAAUGCAAUGAAAUGCAACCU